UAAAACCUGUGGAACACUAAACCACAUCUUCUGAAUGCAAAUCAGACACU
rnacentral:tRNA from 1 species